CAGGCUAAGCCUUCUAUCGCUCUCUUCUGCCAUUGACGCUCCUCUGGGGAAGUUAGCGUUCUGCGAGCAAAUACAAUGAUCUGUUUCAGACCAGCACCCUUUCACAUUAAGAUGUGCAUCAAAUUAUUCAACUUUGCAGUUUUUUAGGACAUGUCCUAGUUAAAGUACGCUGAUGUGCUGGAGCGGAUGACGUAAUACGAUGGCAAGUGUUUGCUCUUGAACAUGGAUGUGAAUCGAGCACGUGCCACUGCAGAGGAGCAGCCGCUCGAUGGCCGCAGCCCAGGUGGUCACAUGAGGCGAUCUUGGUUGUGACGGUGUCGGUCUAGUCCAGAAGCCUCCCUAAGACACUCUAGAGGGAGCAUGUCUCCCACCUCACGGUGCAACUGGAAGAGGUGGCCGGGCACCAGGAAAUCUGGUCUUCACUACUGAGACUGUCUUGCGUUGUGUAAAAGAUCAUUAAAGAAUUCUUUGAACAUUAAACAGUUUGUUACAGUAAUAUUACUGACACCAGGUGCAGGACGUUACCCAGCUGCCUGUCUUUGGUGGUUGACUUCAGCCUCUUUAUUUUGAUGAGGUGACUGUCCUGAACUGGUGCUUUCCAGUAAAUGUUUGCGUCUCCAAACAUGAGUUUCAGAAGUCAUGAGUGUCUUACCCCAGUGAUGCCAUGUGUUCCUGCCAAGUAGCCAUGGUGCUUGAAGAUGCCCCAGCAGGGGAGGAGAAAUCUGACAGCUCAGAACUGCUUGGCUGGUAGUCUGAUGACACAUUGUAGGCUGUUAAAACCUGCUUGAACCCUCACAGCCUGUCUUGACAUGUAUGACGACUAACAGCGCCGUUUGUCCCCGUUUUAAAACAUUUGGAAGGGGAAAAGAGUAAACAAGUGUUCAUGAGCAGCUUGUAAUGUCCCCUUUUGGCCACAUGGUGGCUGUAAUGAAACACCACGUCGUACAAGUAGAGACACCUAAGAAACCAUGGUGCCCCUCAAGGCAGCUGUUUUUACCAGGUUUAGUAAUUUGUGGAUCAUUAGGUGCUGCUCUAACCGCUGGUUGUUUAUCCUAGGGAACAUCAAUAAAUUAUCAAUAGUUUGUUUAAAAAAAGUCAUAUUGUAAAUACACCAUGAAUUGAUCUGUAACCAUGUCACAUGAUUAGACCUACCCGCCCAUUUUUUUCCAACUGGAUCUUUCAUUGGAUUAGGGACCUGACUCAGAGGUUGGUUCCAAAAGCCAAACAAUAUAUUUGGUCAUGUUGUGUAAUAAAGUAUAUUCAGAAAUACUUUGCUUGCAUUAUCUGUAAUACUUUGAAGAGCUAUUUUCAUAACCAUUCAAUGCCACAAAUUCAUGUUUGGAACAAAAGCUUAUACAAAAAAGGAUCGGUACUGGAUCUG